rnacentral:rRNA from 1 species
GAUGAACGCUGGCGGCGUGCCUAAUACAUGCAAGUCGAGCGAACGGACGAGAAGCUUGCUUCUCUGAUGUUAGCGGCGGACGGGUGAGUAACACGUGGAUAACCUACCUAUAAGACUGGGAUAACUUCGGGAAACCGGAGCUAAUACCGGAGAAUAUUUUGAACCGCAUGGUUCAAAAGUGAAAGACGGUCUUGCUGUCACUUAUAGAUGGAUCCGGGCUGCAUUAGCUAGUUGGUAAGGUAACGGCUUACCAAGGCAACGAUGCAUAGCCGACCUGAGAGGGGGGUCGCCCACACUGGAGCUGAGACACGGACCAGACGCCUACGGGAGGCAGCAGUAGGGAAUCUGCCGCAGAGGGCGAAAGCCUGACGGAGCAACGCCGCGUGAGUGAUGAAGGUCUUCGGAUCGUAAAACUCUGUUAUUAGGGAAGAACAUAUGUGUAAGUAACUGUGCACAGCUUGACGGUACCUAAUCAAAAAGCCACGGCUAACUACGUG